UACGGAGGAUUCGAGCGUUAUCCGGAUUUAUUGGGUUUAAAGGGUGCGUAGGCGGACCUUUAAGUCAGAGGUGAAAUCCUGCAGCUUAACUGUAGAACUGCCUUUGAAACUGAAGGUCUUGAAUAUGGACGAGGUAGGCGGAAUGAGUUAUGUAGCGGUGAAAUGCAUAGAUAUAACUCAGAACACCGAUUGCGUAGGCAGCUUACCAGACCAUAAUUGACGCUGAUGCACGAAAGCGUGGGUAGCGAACAGG
rnacentral:rRNA from 1 species